AACCAGCUCUUCAAGUGGUCGGGAUAAUUAUUGGGCUUAAAGUGUCCGUAGCCGGUUUGGAAAGUUCCUGGUAAAAUCGGAUAGCUUAACUAUCUGCAUGCUAGGAAUACUACCAUACUAGAGGGCGGGAGAGGUCUGAGGUACUACAGGGGUAGGGGUGAAAUCUUAUAAUCCUUGUAGGACCACCAGUGGCGAAGGCGUCAGACUGGAACGCGCCUGACGGUGAGGGACGAAAGCCAGGGGAGCGAACCGGAUUAGAUACCCGGGUAGUCCUGGCUGUAAACGAUGCAUACUAGGUGAUGGUACGGCCAUGAGCCGUAUCAGUGCCGUAGGGAAACCGUUAAGUAUGCCGCCUGGGAAGUACGGUCGCAAGGCUAAAACUUAAAGGAAUUGGCGGGGGAGCACCACAAGGGGUGAAGCCUGUGGUUU
rnacentral:rRNA from 1 species